GGGUUGUGAGGUUAAGCGACUAAGCGUACACGGUGGAUGCCCUGGCAGUCAGAGGCGAUGAAGGACGUGCUAAUCUGCGAUAAGCGUCGGUAAGGUGAUAUGAACCGUUAUAACCU
rnacentral:rRNA from 1 species